rnacentral:rRNA from 1 species
UACGUAGGUCCCGAGCGUUGUCCGGAUUUAUUGGGCGUAAAGCGAGCGCAGGUGGUUUAUUAAGUCUGGUGUAAAAGGCAGUGGCUCAACCAUUGUAUGCAUUGGAAACUGGAAGACUUGAGUGCAGGAGAGGAGAGUGGAAUUCCAUGUGUAGCGGUGAAAUGCGUAGAUAUAUGGAGGAACACCGGUGGCGAAAGCGGCUCUCUGGCCUGUAACUGACACUGAGGCUCGAAAGCGUGGGGAGCAAACAGG